AUUGAACGCUGGCGGCAGGCUUAACACAUGCAAGUCGAGCGAGCCGCGGACGGGAGUGUAAUGUCUGGGAAACCCCCUGAUGGAGGGGGAAAACCACUGGAAACGGUCGCUAACACCGUAAUCCCUCAGAUGUGCCCAGAUGGGAAUAGCUAGUAGGUGGGGUAAUGGCUCCCCUAGGCGACGAUCCCUCGCUGGUCUGAGAGGAUGACCAGCCACACUGGGACGGAGACGCGGGCCAGACUCCUACGGGAGGCAGCAGUGGGGAAUAUUGCACAAUGGGCGCAAGCCUGAUGCAGCCAUGCCGCGUGUGUGAAGAAGGCCUUAGGGUUGUAAAGCACUUUCAGCGAGGAGGCGUUACUGGCAGAAGAAGCACCGGCUAACUCCGUGCCAGCAGCCGCGGUAAUUC
rnacentral:rRNA from 1 species